rnacentral:rRNA from 1 species
ACGCUCGACACCUACGGCAGCAGUGGGGAAUAUUGCACAAUGGGGGAAACCCUGAUGCAGCGACGCCGCGUGAGCGAAGAAGUAUUUCGGUAUGUAAAGCUCUAUCAGCAGGGAAGAAACUGACGGUACCUGACUAAGAAGCACCGGCUAAAUACGUACCAGCAGCCGCGGUAAUCUGAGCGGGCUGGCAAGGC